AUAUUAGCAAUUCUCUAAAUGAAUCAUAAUAGUUUUUAAAAAAUCACGUAGAAGUUGUAUUAAUUGGAUUUAUAUAACUAUAGAUAUAUGUAAUAAUGUAAUGUAAAGUCAUCUUCUACAUUAUAGAUGUAUGUCAUAAUGCAAAGUCUUCUUUUAUAUUAUAGAGACAAUUGGAAUUAGAAAGAUCUGUUAGGAAACAUAUAUUUUUAUUUUUAUAGUAUUGAUAAAAAAA
rnacentral:lncRNA from 1 species